CUAUAUUUCAGAACUAAAAAUGAGAAAUUUACAAUAGAGUAUAUAGUUAAAGUUUCCAUUGGACUUGGCACUGGCUGCGUUUUUUUCGGAUUAUCGGUCGUAUAUUUCUAUUUGCAAUAUCAGGAUUUCCACAGAAAACAGACAGAUGAUUGGGAUAGCAAUAAAUAUAAACCUGUUGUGAUUCUUGGUGGAUCGGACUGCGCAAUAUGUUUAAAGCAGAAGGACAGUAGAAGUGAGCCGGUAGUAACUUUAUUUUGUAAUCACGAAUUCCAUAAAAAUUGUGCUCGUGGAUGGCUUUUAAAUAGUGAAAAGGAAAGAUGCUGUCUUUGUCGUUCCUCCAUAAGUUCAUUUACGAAUUUCGAACUAACAGACGCCAAGAAAGAAGAAAAGAGUUUCAUUCAGUCGAAUUCAAACACAUGUCGACCAGCAAUACAGAUCAGUUAAAUACUGACAAAUUAUAGUUGUCAAGUUGGGUUAAAAAGAGUUUGACUAGGAAUCAUUGAUGGCUGCGCACUUGACAAAAAACUUGAUGUUGAAAAGGCCUACAUGAGUGCCAUUUGUUGCCGUUGAUAUCAGAGUAUAAACAAGUUUUGAAGAUUGUUAAUGGUAGUGACUGGAUUCGGUAG